UGGGGAAUAUUGGACAAUGGGCGCAAGCCUGAUCCAGCCACGCCGCGUGAGUGAUGAAGGCCUUCGGGUCGUAAAGCUCUGUGGGGAGGGACGAACCGCCGUUGGUGCAUAGCCAACGGCAUGACGGUACCUCCUUAGCAAGCACCGGCUAACUUCGUGCCAGCAGCCGCGGUAAUACGAAGGGUGCAAACGUUGCUCGGAAUUAUUGGGCGUAAAGCGCACGUAGGCGGCUUUGCAAGUCGGAUGUGAAAUCCCUCGGCUUAACCAAGGAAGUGCAUCCGAAACUGCAGAGCUUGAGUACUUAAGAGGAUCGCGGAAUUCCCGGUGUAGAGGUGAAAUUCGUAGAUAUCGGGAGGAACACCAGUGGCGAAGGCGGCGAUCUGGGAAGAUACUGACGCUGAGGUGCGAAAGCGUGGGGAGCAAACAGG
rnacentral:rRNA from 1 species